rnacentral:lncRNA from 1 species
UUAUAUCCUGAAGAGGGAUAUAUAGGCUAGUCCUGAGGAAAUGAUGGCACUGAUGCAAUGGCAGGAAUAACGAGGAUUGUUCUGUACAACUGAACACUGCAAACAAAAGGUCCCUGAGAAGUUUUUCAGAAGUCAUCCAAAAUUUAAGAGGCAUUAGAGCUGACACAAACAUCAGGUUUGCGAAGACAGCUGAAAACCCUUUGCACAAAGGUAGGAGUUCAAUGAAGCUCAACAACAGGGCUG